CCUACGGGCGGCAGCAGUGGGGAAUAUUGGGCAAUGGGCGCAAGCCUGACCCAGCAACGCCGCGUGAAGGAAGAAGGCUUUCGGGUUGUAAACUUCUUUUUAGAGGGAAGAGCAGAAGACGGUACCUCCUGAAUAAGCCACGGCUAACUACGUGCCAGCAGCCGCGGUAAUACGUAGGUGGCAAGCGUUGUCCGGAUUUACUGGGUGUAAAGGGCGUGCAGCCGGGAAGACAAGUCAGAUGUGAAAGCCCGCGGCUCAACCGCGGAACUGCAUUUGAAACUGUUUUUCUUGAGUACCGGAGAGGUCAUCGGAAUUCCUUGUGUAGCGGUGAAAUGCGUAGAUAUAAGGAAGAACACCGGUGGCGAAGGCAGAUGACUGGACGGCAACUGACGGUGAGGCGCGAAAGCGUGGGGAGCAAACAGGAUUAGAUACCCUUGUAGUC
rnacentral:rRNA from 1 species